UACGUAGGGGGCAAGCGUUGUCCGGAUUUAUUGGGCGUAAAGAGCUCGUAGGCGGUUCGACAAGUCGGAUGUGAAAUCUCCACGCUCAACGUGGAGGGGCCAUUCGAAACUGUCGUGACUUGAGUCCGGUAGGGGAGUGUGGAAUUCCCGGUGUAGCGGUGAAAUGCGCAGAGAUCGGGAGGAACACCAGUGGCGAAGGCGGCUCACUGGCCCGAUACUGACGCCGAGGCACGAAAGCGUGGGGAGCAAACAGG
rnacentral:rRNA from 1 species